AUCAACUUUCGAUGGUAGGAUAGAGGCCGACCAUGGUUUCAACGGGUAACGGGGAAUAAGGGUUCGAUUCCGGAGAGGGAGCCUGAGAAACGGCUACCACAUCCAAGGAAGGCAGCAGGCGCGCAAAUUACCCAAUCCCGACACGGGGAGGUAGUGACAAUAAAUAACAAUAUAGGGCUCUUUCGGGUCUUAUAAUUGGAAUGAGUACAAUUUAAAUCCCUUAACGAGGAACAAUUGGAGGGCAAGUCUGGUGCCAGCAGCCGCGGUAAUUCCAGCUCCAAUAGCGUAUAUUAAAGUUGUUGCAGUUAAAAAGCUCGUAGUUGAAUUUCGGGACCAAUAUGUCGGUCGUGCCUCGGUACGUACUGGCAUCGUUGGUUUCUCCCUUCUGACGAACCAUGAUGUCAUUUAUUUGGUGUCGUGGGGAAUCAGGACUGUUACUUUGAAAAAAUUAGAGUGUUUAAAGCAGGCUCACGCUUGAAUACAUUAGCAUGGAAUAAUGAAAUAGGACGUUUGAUUCUAUUUUGUUGGUUUCUAGGAUUGACGUAAUGAUUAAUAGGGAUAGUUGGGGGCAUUAGUAUUCAAUUGUCAGAGGUGAAAUUCUUGGAUUUAUUGAAGACUAACUACUGCGAAAGCAUUUGCCAAGGAUGUUUUCAUUAAUCAAGAACGAAAGUUAGGGGAUCGAAGACGAUCAGAUACCGUCGUAGUCUUAACCAUAAACUAUGCCGACUAGGGAUCGGAUGAUGUUAAUUUUUUAAUGACUCAUUCGGCGCCUUACGGGAAACCAAAGUGUUUGGGUUC
rnacentral:rRNA from 1 species